rnacentral:rRNA from 1 species
AUCUACAGCCAUGCUACACUGAAGAAACCCUAUCCUGUCUGAUCUUGGAAGCUAAGCAGGGUUGGGCCUGAUUAGUACUUGGAUGGGAGACCACCUAGGAAGACCAGGUGCAGUAGUGU